rnacentral:rRNA from 1 species
UACCAGCACCCCGAGUGGGCGGGACGUUUAUUGGGCCUAAAGCAUCCGUAGCCGGUUCUACAAGUCUUCCGUUAAAUCCACCUGCUUAACAGAUGGGCUGCGGAAGAUACUAUAGAGCUAGGAGGCGGGAGAGGCAAGCGGUACUCAGUGGGUAGGGGUAAAAUCCGUUGAUCCAUUGAAGACCACCAGUGGCGAAGGCGGCUUGCCAGAAUGCGCUCGACGGUGAGGGAUGAAAGCUGGGGGAGCAAACCGG